CGGCAACAGCUCAAAUUUGAAAUCUGGCCCCCUCGGGGCCCGAGUUGUAAUUUGUAGAGGGUGCUUUGGCGUCGGCUCCGGUCUAAGUUCCUUGGAACAGGACGUCACAGAGGGUGAGAAUCCCGUACGUGGCCGCGGGCCUUCGCCGUGUAAAGCCCCUUCGAC
rnacentral:rRNA from 1 species